GCGCGCUGCGCUUAUCCGCUUUUGGUAUACAAACAAUGCAUCUCAUUUUUGUGAUCGAAAAUAUAAAAAAGAGAAACAAAAGCCGGAGCCAGCGACAUCGCUCGAAUUUAUUCAAUCUUGGCGACAAGACUGAGUGUUUGCAGAACCAUAGGAGUAUCGUUGGAAGAGACGAAGACAGGGUAAUGGCUUAAACACACGAAUUGAUUUAGGAAGACGUGCCGGCCAAACUAUUGCAAGUUUGACUGUUCAGCAUAAUGUUAGAACAACAAACUCUUCACCUAUGCACGGUCAUCAGCCCCCGCCAGGUCCUGGCCUGUCAUUUGUGUCACAAGGAAGUACCACACCUGGCCCCGUGUUCACAAAACAUGUUUUGCAAUCGAAAAUCGAUUUUGCUUGUCAUUGAAAAUGGAUUUCCAUUGUAGUUGAUAGGCAAAAAUGAAAUUGAUGUCAGUUAAAAUCGAUUUUCGAUUGCAAAAUCGUUUUGUGAACACGGGGCCUGGUCAUGUGUCAGGAAUUGGAGAGAUAACAUCUUACUUAGAAGUAAAUUGAAGGCAGCCAACAAUUGGACAGUGGUGCCAAUCAAUGAAAAGAAGGGAUACACGUACAUGCACUGAGUACACAGAGAUCAUCAAGGAAAAAACCCUUCGAUCAAAGUUCCUUUUUGAUUCAGCUUAUCCAAAGCUGAUUGCCUCUACAAUUGCCCCUUCUAUAUCCACCUGCGGCUAAUGAGGAGCUGCAAUAUCCAAUAGGUCAAGGGCAAGCAACCCGGAAACAAUAUGAAGAUUUACGCAUGCAAAUUGGUACAUGGUGUAUGAAACUUUGUUGUUUUAACUAACUUCAACAUACCAUUAUUAUGAAUUAAAAAAUUGACAAAGCUGAAAUCAAUGAUAACUGACUAUGGGUAGGAACAUGUUGUGUGAAUUUGGCAGCAUGGUUUUAUAGGAUGUAUACCAUUGAGUAUGAAAGUGCAUGUGUGACCCUGGCUGUUUUUUCAGUCAGUAGAUGACUUUAGUAUUUGAAAUGAUGCUUGAAUUUAUUUGUGUAAUAUGAAGGCGUGACCAAAUGUGUGACAUAAUGGUCGACUGUCUUGUCAUCAUCAUGGUGAUAAAAUGUGAUUUUAAUAAGUGAACUGCUUAUAAACAUAGGGCAGAAAUAUCAUUGAUAAAAUACUGAUGAACAUAGCAUACAAGUGCCCUGAAAUGCCAUGAGAAUAUGUAUUUGAGUUUUAAGUGUGUAAGGUAUUGUGAAUUUUGUUAAUUGUUUUGUUAUAAAAAUAUAGGAUCCAAAGUAUUCAUUCAUAGAUCACUCUGAAAAAGAAGAAUAAGUAAAAACCUUGUCUGGCAAAUAACUACAUAAACAAUGGGCCAAGUUCCAAGUUUUUUAUGGGAGACAUAUGAUCAAACAUGGUGAAUUAAUUGUUUUGUUAUUACAAUAGAGGAUCCAAAGUAUUUGAUCAUAGGUCACUCUGAAACAGAAGAAUUUGUGAAAACCUUGUCUGGCAAAUAGCUAAAUAAACACUGGGCUCAGCAUUUUCCUGAUUUUUUGUAACAAGUAGACUAUGAAAAGUAAUUAUUGACUCUUUUAGGUAUAAGCUACCAUAGUCAAUGUUGAGUGCGUGCUGCACACAACAUUUGUUUAUGUUCCAUUAAAAAUUACAUUAAAGCUCAAUGCUAUAUAUAGAUUAUGUAUUGUUUUCCAUUGUUUAUCAGUCUAUAAACAACCAUUUAUUGUAAUAGCCUUACAUAAACUGUCAUAAAGAUGAUAAAGUGCUGUUUAUCCAUAAAUAAAAAAUUGGUGAAAUUCAGAAAUAAUUUGUUCUGUCAAAUGUUGAAAGUUGGAAACAUUUAUUCAAAAUGUUAGCAAUUAUAGUUUUGUUUCAUAAAUAUAGAGUAUUAUGUU